rnacentral:lncRNA from 1 species
AAACUGCUCUCAAACUCGCAAGACUGCCCUCUGCCAGCCACACAUAUAUAGCGAUUCGGUAAACCCUAGCCGGCAGACCAAAUCUGGCAGAUUAUUUCCUUCCAUAUUUAGCUUGAUCCUUGAUUUGAUUUGAUAGAUAAUGGAUCUCCAGCGGAUUUGGGGUUGAUUCCACAUUAUUCCAGAUCCUUCCAUUGCUAGAAUUCGCCAGAAUCUUCCGGGCAAUCUCCUCCACACGUCUUUCCAUAUAUAGCUCUAGCUGCUGACUGCUAUUGACGGGAAUGGUCAUACUAGCUUCUUUCUUCGGUUGGCCUCAUACCAGGUGGUACACUUCGAACGUUCCCGCGCCUCGAAUGGCACUGAGGGGUACUUCGUCGAGCUCUCUUCCUGGUUCAUAUAUAGCUCAUC